GACACUAGGUCCAGAGGUCAGUCUGUGUGCGUAGAGACUGGGACUCAGGGUAAAGGGUAGGAGAUUAUCUUGAAGUACCAAACAUCAAUUCACCAAAAGCUACACUUUCGCAGACUUAGGAGAACUGGAGUGUAUUUAAGUCUCAAGAUGGUUCUGGGCAUGAUUAACCCUAUAUCGACCAAUCUAGCCUAAUGAGCUUUUUAAACUACAGAGUACACCGUCUGAUUUCUGAGGAAUGAAGACAGAGAUGCUGUUAAUUCCCCACGGCCAGUGACUAAUCAAUCGAGCCUGUGAAGCAGAACCUAACCAUCCUGAACGAAGAGUGCAGUGAACACAUCUCCAUGCCAGUGUCACCAAUGCUGGCAAAGAACUCCUGCACCAGGGACCGUCCAGACCCUGCAAGGUGUUGAAGAUGAAAAAAGGCAGAAGAGAAAAAGAAAGACAUUAAUGCCCGUCACCACAAACACUGUAAAGAAAUGACAGGAGAAUUGGGUAAACUUGGCCAAGCAAAGGUCUGGAAGCAAUGGCCGGAUUCACCAGAAGAGUACCAGGGGGUUACAGUAAAUGACAGUCCUCAGUCCCAACUGGUUAAUGAAUACAAUGGUGACUUCCAAAGAACCUUAGAAACCAUUUAGUUCAAUUUCUUCUUUUUUUUUCCAGAAACCCUUUUCUAGGAUGUUUGCUUGUUUGUUUAUUUAUUUAUUUAUACACACCUGCAUGUGUGCCUGCAGGCCAGAAGAGGGCACCAGAUCUCGUUAUAGAUGGUUAUGAGGCACCAUGUGGGUGCUGGGAGUUGAACUCAGGACCUCUGGAAGAACAACCAAUGUUCUUACCCUUUGAAGCCAUCUCUCCAGCCCAUUUAGUUCAAUUUCUACUUCUUCAUUUACAGAGCAAGAAAACUAGCCUCUAGUCUCAGCCACUUAAGUAAACUGAAAGAGGAAGUUCAACAUCAACUCAAAAUCCCAAU